rnacentral:rRNA from 1 species
AACCUGCCGAAAGGCAAGCUAAUACCAUAUGUGCUGAUGAAUUUAUUUUUUUCAGUAAAGCUUUUACGCUUAGAGAAGGGCUUGCGUCUGAUUAGCUAGUUGGUGGGGCAAUGGCCUACCAAGGCAAUUAUCAGUAGCUGUUCUUAGAGGAAGACCAGCCAGACAGGGACUGAGACACGGCCCUGACUCCUACGGGAGGCAGCAGCAAGGAAUUUUGCGCAAUGGGCGAAAGCCUGACGCAGCGACGCCGCGUGAGGGAUGAAGGCCUUCGGGUCGUAAACCUCUUUUCCUGGGGACGAAUAAUGACGGUACCCAGGGAAUAAGUCUUGGCUAACUACGUGCCAGCAGCCGCGGUAAUACGUAGGAGACAAACGUUAUUCGGAUUUACUGGGCGUAAAGCGGGUGUAGACGGCUUCUUAAGUCGGUUGUGAAAUCUCCUGACUUAAUUGGGAGGAGUCAAUCGAUACUGAGAAGCUAGAAGGCAGCAGAAGAAAGCGGAAUUCCCGGUGUAGCGGUGAUAUGCGUAGAUAUCGGGAGGAAUACCAGUGGCGAAGGCGGCUUUCUAGGUUGCUCCUGACGUUGAUGCCCAAAAGCGUGGGGAGCGAAACGGAUUAGAUACCCGUGUAGUCCACGCCCUAAACUUUG